ensembl:lincRNA
GAACAACCUCCAGGAUGCCUCCAGAGAGAAAGUAAUGGAAGUUAGCUACCUAAUUUUCUGUUUGGGAGCCAGACACAUGCCACACUCAGACAUACUUCUGCCCUUAAACCAGAAUAUAAGUUUAGUGUAUAGGAGGAAUGAAGCCGUCGGAGACCCACCCAAAGAUACAUGCAAAUGAAGACUUGGUGGCUUCUGUUUUCCCAAGAAUCAAAGUCACAGUUUCACAUUUAAGACUGGAUGAAUACCUAGUCCUCCAUGUCACACCCUAUGUCCUAAAAAACUCACUCAAGAAGGGGAUUGAAAAGAAAAAUCUCAUCGAUAUUCGGGGUACUUUCCAAAGGAGAUGGCUUGGUGUGUGGGAAGUGUAUCUACGUGUGGCCCUGGUCUCCCUUCAGAGAAGGACUUGCUCCCAUUUGCUUCGUGAACUGUUAACAAGCAGCCUGCAGCUGUCAGGUCUCUUCUGCCAUCAGGUCUCCUCUGGACUUGCCUCAGCAGCGCGGAAGCACUUCAUCUAA